ensembl:lncRNA
CGGUGAGGAGGGCGUUGCAGUAGUCUAUGCGUGAUGUGACAAAUGAGUGAACUAGGAUUUCAGCGCUGGAUUGGGUCAGUGAUGGGCGGAGUCUGGCGAUGUUGCGGAGGUGGAAGAAUGCAGUCCGGGUGAUGUUGUGAAUAUGGGGUGCGAAUGAGAGGGUGUUGUCCAGGAUGACGCCGAGGCUCUUGACUUUGGAGGAGAAGGGUACUGGGAAUCCAUCGAUAAUUAUGAGUGGAGCUGGGGUGUGUUGUGAUUUAGUGAGGGUGGAUUUGGAUCCGAUGAGCAGGGCCUCGGUCUUGUUUCCAUUGAGUUUCAGGAAGUUCCUGCUCAACCAGCUCCGGAUCUCUUCCAGGCACGUGAUGAGGGAGGUGGGGGGGAUGGCAGCGGUGGGUUUGGUGGAGAUGUAGACCUGUGUGUCGUCAGCAUAGCAAUGAAAAUGGACCCCAUGGUGACGGAGGAGUGUGCCCAGCGGGAGGAGGUAAGUGGUGAAGAGGAGUGGACCCAAGACUGACCCCUGGGGGACGCCCAGUGAGACACCUGAACACCCAGACUUGUGGUUGCUUAGUUGAACAAAUUGUUGACGGCCGGUGAGGUAGGAUGUAAACCAGGAGAGUGCAGCACCAGUGAUCCCAAUACCAGCUAGGCGGUCCAGGAGCAGAGGGUGGGAGAUGGUGUCGAAUGCUGCGCUGAGAUCGAGGAGGAUGAGAAUGGUUGUGAAGUCGGAAGAAGCCAGCGGUAGAUCCAGGCGAUUAUGGUGAAGCCACAGAGCCAGCACAGCGGAGGCAGAGGAGUGGAGCAAGCCGGUUAUAGCUACGCUGGAGACGGG